rnacentral:lncRNA from 1 species
AUGUCCCGAGCAGAGCCACCCAUCCCUGUGUCCCAUUCCCUGUGUCCCAUUGUCCCGAGCAGAGCCACCCAUCCCUGUGUCCCAUUCCCUGUGUCCCAUUCCCGUGUCCCAUUCCCAUCCCUGUGUCCCAUUCCCUGUGUCCCAUCCCUGUGUCCCAUUCCUUGUGUCCCAUUCCCAUCUCUGUAUCCCAAUCCCAUUCCCUGUGUCCCAUUCCCGUCCCUGUGUCCCAUCCCUGUGUCCCAUUCCCAAUCCUAUUCCCAUGUCCCAUUCCCUGUGUCCCAUUCCCAAUCCCGUGUCCCACUGUCCCAUCCCCAUGUCCCAUUCCCAUGUCCCAUCCCUGUGUCCCAUCCCUGUGUCCCAUUCCCGUGUCCCAUUCCCAUCCCUGUGUCCCAUUCCAAAUCUGUGUCCCAUUCCUUGUGUCCCAUUCCCAUUCCUUGUGUCCCAUUCCCAUCUCUGUAUCCCAAUCCUAUUCCCGUGUCCCAUUCCCAAUCCCAUGUCCCACCCAUUCCCUGUGUCCCAUUCCCAUUCCUGUGUCCUAUUCCCAUGCUGUGUCCCAUUCCCUGUGUCCCUGUGUCCCAAUCCCAUGUCCCAUUCCCAUUCCUUGUGUCCCAUUCCCAUCCCUGUGUCCCAUUCCCGUGUCCCAUUCCCAUUUCCUGUGUCCCAUUCCCAUCCCUGUGUCCCAUUCCCAAUCCCAUAUCCCACUGUCCCAUUCCCUGUGUCCCAUUCCCAUUCCUGUGUCCCAUUCCCAUCCCUGUGUCCCAUUCCCAUCCCUGUGUCCCAAUCCUAUUCCCAUGUCCCAUUCCCUGUGUCCCAUUCCCUGUGUCCCAAUCCCAUCCCUGUGUCCCAAUCCUAUUCCCGUGUCCCACUGCCCCAUUCCCUGUGUCCCAUUCCCAUUCCUGUGUCCCAUCCCUGUGUCCCAUCCCUGUGACCCAAUCCCAUCCCUGUGUCCUAAUCCCAUUCCCUGUGUCCCAUCCCUGUGUCCCAUUCCCGUGUCCCAUUCCCUUUGUCCCCGUGUCCCAAUCCCAUGUCCCACUCCCAUCCCACAGCUGGGAUUUCCCAGCCAUCCCAGAAACUGACAAACAAAACCCCAAGAAAACCCCAAAUCGGCGAUUCCCGCACUGA